rnacentral:rRNA from 1 species
CUGCGAAGGCUCAUUAUAUCAGUUAUAGUUUAACGAUGAAGAAUACUAAUUGGAUAACCGUAGUAAUUCAGAGCUAAUACAUGUAUAAAGUCUUGUAGACUGCAUUUAUUAGAAUGAAAACCAUAGGUUUCGGCCUAUUCGUGAGUAAUAAUAACUAAUCAUAUCGUAUGCUUAUGUAACGAUGUGUCUUUCAAGUUUCUGCCCUAUCAGCUUUCGAUGGUAGUGUAUUGGACUACCAUG